rnacentral:lncRNA from 1 species
AUUUCUAUUUUUUUUAUGCAAUCUUUUAAUUCUUCUUUGAUGCAAUAUAUUAAAUUUUCUUUUAUGCAAUUUAUGUUCUAGGAUUUUGAUCUUCUUAGCACUUGCUUUCAUCCAUUUUAAUUUAUGCCAAAAUUUUCCUUUGAAUAGUUAAACAUUUCAUAAAUUUAUAAAUGCUCUUUGAUUUCUAAGUACUUGUCUUUUUAUUAUUUUUAAAUAAAGAAAAUUCUCUGGUAAAUUAGAGAAUCUAUCAUCAUCCCCGACAUCAUGUUUUUCUUUAGUUAUUCAAAAAUCGAUUUUGAAUCCGAGUGAACGUUCUAAUUUUUAAGCAACUCCAAUCGCCUCCCUGUGGAUCGACAUCUUACAACCACUAUUCUUCGAGUAGGAAAGGUAAGAGUAGAAUUUAAAUUUAACUUUUGUUCGUCGGUUCUAACAACGAUCUGUCUAGCAUAUUUUUAGGUAGACAG